rnacentral:pre_miRNA from 1 species
ACAUAGUCGUACGGUGAAUGUUGUUUAUGGAGUCCAAUGUUAACUGUAAGACUGUGUCU